AAAGUGGUGUCCAAGUCAGCUGCAUCUGGCUGUAAUGGGCUCAGCCCAUUCAAAGGCAAACAAUGGUUGACUUUAAGGAGCCAGGCAGAGGCAGAUGAAAGCAUCCUUUAGGUCGAGGCAUGUAAACCAUCUGGCUGACCCCGGAAUUUGGCUGAGGAGAGUAUAUGGGUUCAGAACCACUGGGUGUAAGGAAACAGUCACUUUGUUAGUGGCCCUCAAUUCCUCUACUGGUCGGUAUCCUCCUCCUGGCUUCUUGACUGGCAAGAGCGGGGUAUUCCAAGCUGAUUGGCAUUCAAUUAGAAUACCUGCUUCUCUAUGCUUGGUCAGGUGCUCUUGUAUAUCCAUCCUAGCCUCGAGUGGAAGGGGGUACUGCCUUUGUCUCUGAGGUUGGGCUCCAGGGAUCAGGUCAGCAAUGAAGGGCGCCCGAUUCUAAGCUAGUGCAGGUGGGUUAUCUUCAGCCCAUACUGAGGGGAAUGUAAGCCUGAAUUCUGAGGGGCUAUAGGGUAAGGGCUGGGCACAGAAUAGUCUCCAUUCUUCUUCCCUUGGCAGGGUAAUUGCCAAGACCAGGAUUUCCUUCUGCCUUGUAUUUAAUUGGAGGCUAGUGUCUCCAGUAGGUUCAAAAGUUAUCUGGGCCCUAAGUUUGGAGAGCAGAUCCCAGCCCAGGAGAGUAACUGAGCAGUCAGGUAAGUAGAGGAACUCAUGCCGGACCUUGUGACCCCCAAGUUCACAUUGUCAAGCUUGACAGAAGGGCUGCUGCAUCGCCCAUGUCCCAGUAACCCCAAGUAUGGUUGCCAUCUUUUGGCUUAAGGGCAUCACCGGGGAAGUAACAAUGGAAUAUUCAGCCCCAGUGUCAACCAUGAAAUUUAUUGUGUGGCCCCCUACCUUCAUUUAGAUUGUGGGCUCAAGGGGGCCAAGAGAGAAAGAGCCUGGUCCCCCUCAGUCUGAUUCUACCCCAGCCAGACCAACGAGGUUCUUGCCUCAAGGUUUCUCCCAAUAUCGGCUGGGUUUUGAGGGCCCCUUCCGAUUCAGACAUUCAUUCAUCCAGUGUCCCUUCUCUUUGCAGUAUGCAUAUUGGUCCCUUGCUAAGGGGGUAUGGGCUUCCCCCCUUUUGGUGGUUGGGGUCUUCCCAUCUUUGCAGCAUCUGUUUCUUUUAGUGCUGCUGUGAGAAGGGUGGCCUUCUUUGUUAGUCUUCUCUCUUCUUCUCUUUCAGCUGUGACUUCUCUGUUCAUGAAAACUUUGCUGGCAACCUCUAUCAGCUGAGUGAUAUUCAUCCUGGCAAAGACCUCCAACUUCUGGAGUUUUCUUCUGAUAUCUGGGCAGCCUGUGCCACAAAAGAGUUUCACUAUGAUAUGUCGUGCAGAAGAUUGAUUCAAGUUAUGUCUGCUGUGCCUCUUGGAUUUCAAUGCCUGUUUCCUCCCCCAGAUCAGAGGACCCUCUCUCCAUUCCUGCUUCUGGACAGAAGACCUCUAUUCCACCAAGGAAGGGACACUUCAGAAUCUGGAAAACAAAGAACACCAAAUUCCUGGCUUUUAAAUGAAGCAAACGAAUGGAAAACUGCUCUUCAUGUCUAAGGGAAGAAGAUUCGGCAGGAUAGCUACCAAAGGACCAAUGCUGUGAUGCUGCAUGAGGCCUCUGCACUAUGAUGUCGCUCCUGGGAAAAGAAAGAGGGUUUGACUUUUUUCGAUUCUACGUAGAAGUGAUAUCCUACAGUAUUUUCCCUGACUUAUCCUGUGAAGUAUAAUGGGCUCAAGAUCCAUCCAUGACACAAAUGGAAAUAUCUUUUCUUCUCGUAACUGAAUAAUACUCUAUUGUAUAUAUGCAC